rnacentral:rRNA from 1 species
UACAGAGGGUGCAAGCGUUGUUCGGAAUUAUUGGGCGUAAAGCGCGUGUAGGCGGCUUUGCAAGUCGGGUGUGAAAGCCCUCAGCUCAACUGAGGAAGUGCGCCCGAAACUGCAGAGCUUGAGUGCCGGAGAGGGUGGCGGAAUUCCCCAAGUAGAGGUGAAAUUCGUAAGAUAUGGGGAGGAACACCGGUGGCGAAGGCGGCCACCUGGACGGG